UAAGGCCCGGGCGCGCAGGCGCGGUAGUACGGGGGGGGCUAGGGGUGGUCGGAUUUACGGGGCGGAAAGGGCUGGGAGGCGGCCAUCUCAAGUCAGGUGUGAAAGCUCUGGGCUUAACCCAGAAAGGUCAACGGGUACGGCGGGGCUAGAGUGCAGAAGGGGCAACUGGAAUUCUCGGUGUAGCGGUGAAAUGCGUAGAUAUCGAGAGGAACACCUGCGGCGAAGGCGGGUUGCUGGGCUGACACUGACGCUGAUGCGCGAAAGCUAGGGGAGCGAACGGGAUUAGAUACCCCGGUAGUC
rnacentral:rRNA from 1 species